UAUCAGCAAAGCUCUCAUCUUCAUGAAGUUUGAAGGCAAGUUAAAAUACAUAGCAGGCAGGAUUUGAACUUUGCACAGAAAGGAGUAGAAUGCCUCGGUGGAAGCAGGCAGGAGAGAAAAAGAAAUUAAAGGGAAAAUAAAUUUUGCAGAUUCACUGAGGUGAGAAAACUGAGAAAGGGAGUGAAAUAUGUAUAACACAAUAGGGAGCAGUACUUGUACACUUCAAGCUCAUUAACUCCUUUCACAGUCCUAUGAUCAUUGUCCUUGAAUGCUU
rnacentral:lncRNA from 1 species